rnacentral:rRNA from 1 species
AUUGAACGCUGGCGGCAGGCCUAACACAUGCAAGUCGAACGGUAACAGGAAGCAGCUUGCUGCUUUGCUGACGAGUGGCGGACGGGUGAGUAAUGUCUGGGAAACUGCCCGAUGGAGGGGGAUAACUACUGGAAACGGUAGCUAAUACCGCAUAACGUCGCAAGACCAAAGAGGGGGACCUUAGGGCCUCUUGCCGUCGGAUGUGCCCAGAUGGGAUUAGCUAGUAGGUGGGGUAACGGCUCACCUAGGCGACGAUCCCUAGCUGGUCUGAGAGGAUGACCAGCCACACUGGAACUGAGACACGGUCCAGACUCCUACGGGAGGCAGCAGUGGGGAAUAUUGCACAAUGGGCGCAAGCCUGAUGCAGCCAUGCCGCGUGUAUGAAGAAGGCCUUCGGGCUGUAAAGUACUUUCAGCGGGGAGGAAGGGAGUAAAGUUAAUACCUUUGCUCAUUGACGUUACCCGCAGAAGAAGCACCGGCUAACUCCGU